AACUUAAGCAUAUCCAAUAAGCGGAGGAAAAGAAACUAACAAGGAUUCCCCUAGUAACGGCGAGUGAAGCGGGAAGAGCUCAAAUUUGAAAUCUGGCGGCCUUUGGUCGUCCGAGUUGUAGUCUGGAGAAGCGUCUUCCGCGCCGGACCGUGUACAAGUCCCUUGGAACGGGGCGUCAUAGAGGGUGAGAAUCCCGUCUUUGACACGGACCGCCGGUGCUUUGUGAUGCGCUCUCAAAGAGUCGAGUUGUUUGGGAAUGCAGCUCAAAACGGGUGGUAAAUUCCAUCUAAGCUAAAUAUUGGCGAAAGACCGAUAGCGAACAAGUACCGUGAGGGAAAGAUGAAAAGCACUUUGGAAAGAGAGUUAAACAGUACGUGAAAUUGUUGAAAGGGAAACGCUUGAAGUCAGUCGCGUCUCUCGGGACUCAGCCUUGCUUUUGCCUGGCGUACUUCCUGGGGUGACGGGCCAGCAUCGAUUUUGACCGUCGGAGAAAGGCCUUGGGAAUGUGGCACCUCCGGGUGUGUUAUAGCCCUGGGUCGCAUGCGACGGUUGGGAUCGAGGACCGCAGCACGCCUUUUUGGCCGGGGUUCGCCCACGUAACGUGCUUAGGAUGCUGGCGUAAUGGCUUUAAGCGACCCGU
rnacentral:rRNA from 1 species